UACGUAGGGGGCAAGCGUUGUCCGGAAUCAUUGGGCGUAAAGGGCGCGUAGGCGGCCAGCGCAAGUCAGUUGUGAAAUCUCCGGGCUUAACUCGGAAAGGUCAACUGAUACUGCGCGGCUAGAGUGCAGAAGGGGCAACUGGAAUUCUCGGUGUAGCGGUGAAAUGCGUAGAUAUCGAGAGGAACACCUGCGGCGAAGGCGGGUCUCUGGGCCGAUACUGACGCUGAGGAGCGAAAGCGUGGGGAGCGAACAGG
rnacentral:rRNA from 1 species